rnacentral:rRNA from 1 species
UACGUAGGUGGCAAGCGUUGUCCGGAUUUACUGGGCGUAAAGAGCGCGCAGGCGGUCGGCCAAGUCGAGUGUGAAAGCCCCCGGCUCAACUGGGGAGGGUCAUUCGAUACUGGUCGACUCGAAGGCAGGAGAGGGAAGCGGAAUUCCCGGUGUAGUGGUGAAAUGCGUAGAUAUCGGGAGGAACACCAGUGGCGAAGGCGGCUUCCUGGCCUGUUCUUGACGCUGAGACGCGAAAGCUAGGGGAGCAAACGGG